rnacentral:rRNA from 1 species
UGAGGAAUAUUGGUCAAUGGGCGGGAGCCUGAACCAGCCAAGCCGCGUGGAGGAAGAAGGUACAGAGUAUCGUAAACUCCUUUUGUCAGGGGAUAAAAGGCGCCACGAGUGGCGUUCUGAAGGUACCUGAAGAAAAAGCAUCGGCUAACUCCGUGCCAGCAGCCGCGGUAAUACGGAGGAUGCGAGCGUUAUCCGGAUUUAUUGGGUUUAAAGGGUGCGUAGGCGGUCUUUUAAGUCAGCGGUGAAAGCCCGGGGCUCAACCCCGGCGAGCCGUUGAUACUGGGAGACUGGAGAGGAAGAGAGGCAUGCGGAAUUCGCGGUGUAGCGGUGGAAUGCUUAGAUAUCGCGAAGAACUCCGAUUGCGAAGGCAGCAUACCGGCGCUCAACUGACGCUGAGGCACGAAAGCGUGGGAUCGAACAGGAUUAGAUACC